rnacentral:piRNA from 1 species
UUGGAAGCCUGGCCAGUGGGAUCCUGGU